rnacentral:rRNA from 1 species
AUUGAACGCUGGCGGAAUGCUCUACACAUGCAAGUCGAACGGCAGCACGGGCUUCGGUCUGGUGGCGAGUGGCGAACGGGUGAGUAAUGUAUCGGAACGUGCCCAGUCGUGGGGGAUAACGUAGUGAAAAUUACGCUAAUACCGCAUACGAUCUAUGGAUGAAAGCGGGGGAUCGCAAGACCUCGCGCGAUUGGAGCGGCAGAUAUCAGAUUAGGUAGUUGGUGGGGUAAAGGCCCACCAAGCCAACGAUCUGUAGCUGGUCUGAGAGGACGACCAGCCACACUGGAACUGAGACACGGUCCAGACUCCUACGGGAGGCAGCAGUGGGGAAUUUUGGACAAUGGGCGAAGGCCUGAUCCAGCCAUUCCGCGUGCAGGAUGAAGGCCCUCGGGUUGUAAACUGCUUUUGUACAGAACGAAAAGGUUUCUACUAAUACUAGGAGCUCAUGACGGUACUGUAAGAAUAAGCACCGGCUAACUACGUGCCAGCCGCCGCCGUAA